AUGGGAAACUCAAUUCCCGGUUGAAUCAAGAUGGACUGUCAGAUCUGCAGGCAACUCAGAGGAAAGUGAUCAAGCAUGCUGUACUCAUCCUUUUCAAGUAGAAAACUGAAGCUAAGAACACCAGUUAAACUUAAGUGACCAGCCAGAUGUAUCUGGGAAGCUUAAACACAUGGCAUGAAAACAACAACCCUUUGCUCUUGCUUAUCUUCAGCAGAAUACUGCCUCUGAACAUGAUCUUAAUUCUGGUUAAUCUCCAAGGGCAUCGACAAAGAGAAUGUAAAAGAUAAAAGACUGGCAUAAUAAUGAAGAGAACAGAAGGAACUAAAAUCUAUACUUAAUUGUGCCACAGGAAAAUGAAGAUUUAGGAAACCUUGAGAGGUGCUUGGUGAUCUAGAAUUUCAGCAGAGAUGCUGUGCUGGAGGGAAAUCAUAUGAGGAAAAUAUACAUUAUUUGUUAAGAUUUACCACCGUCUUUUUCUCUGUCACAUGAUUUGGACAUGACUAAAAAUGGUGUUACACUUCA